rnacentral:rRNA from 1 species
GACGAACGCUGGCGGCGUGCCUAAUACAUGCAAGUUGAGCGCUGAAGGUUGGUACUUGUACCAACUGGAUGAGCAGCGAACGGGUGAGUAACGCGUGGGGAAUCUGCCUUUGAGCGGGGGACAACAUUUGGAAACGAAUGCUAAUACCGCAUAAAAACUUUAAACACAAGUUUUAAGUUUGAAAGAUGCAAUUGCAUCACUCAAAGAUGAUCCCGCGUUGUAUUAGCUAGUUGGUGAGGUAAAGGCUCACCAAGGCGAUGAUACAUAGCCGACCUGAGAGGGUGAUCGGCCACAUUGGGACUGAGACACGGCCCAAACUCCUACGGGAGGCAGCAGUAGGGAAUCUUCGGCAAUAGACGAAAGUCUGACCGAGCAACGCCGCGUGAGUGAAGAAGGUUUUCGGAUCGUAAAACUCUGUUGGUAGAGAAGAACGUUGGUGAGAGUGGAAAGCUCACCAAGUGACGGUAACUACCCAGAAAGGGACGGCUAACUACGUG